CAAAGAGAUAAUUUUAGACAGACAUAUGAAGAGCUUCAGAAACAAAUUAAUGAAUUUAUGGCAGGUUUUUAUGUAGUACUGAAUACAUUAAAGGAGAAUUACCAAAUGCUUACUUUGGGAGGGGAUGCCAAACUGGAGCUUGUAGGCAGCUUGGGUCCUUUCUCUGAAGGAAUCAUGUUCACUGUUUGACUACCUAUGAAAAGUUGGAAGAACAUCUUCAGCCUUUCAACAGGAGAGAAAAUGCUUAGUUCAUUGGCUGCCAUGGCUUUAGUAUUAGCUCUUCCCCUCUAUAAACCCACUCCCUUCUACUUCAGGGACAAGGUUGAUGCAGCCGUUGAUUUUAAAGAUGUGUCCAUUGUUGCAUUUUAUAAAUAUGAACAAACAGAAAUACUCAGUUCAUAAUUUCUCCUUGAAAUAUUAAUAUGUUUGCAAUUUCAGAUAGACUUACUGGAAUUUACAAGAUCUACAAUAUAACAAAAAAUGUUGCAGUAAGCCCCAAAUAAAUUGCAUCUAAAGGACUUUGUUGA
rnacentral:lncRNA from 1 species